rnacentral:ribozyme from 1 species
CGCCCAGAAACUCUAUCCCUACCUCUUCGUGGUACUGGCCGGGGUACGAGUAACCUUGGGGAAGAUCGGGUAACCAACUUUGGUCUUUGGGAACAUUGGUCGUAUGCUGAUAGGGAGGG